GGGGGGGGUGGGGGGGGGGGGGACAGGUGGAGGUGGGGGGGUAGCAGGGGGAGGCGUGCGUCGUUUGUGACGAGUUGGGGACGGGUGAGUAAUGUCUGGGGCACGGCCGGAUGGGGGGGGAUAACUUCUUGAAACUGUAGCCCAUACCUCCUAACGUCGCUAUACCAAAGAGGGUGACCUUCGGUCCUCUUGCCAUCUGAUGUGUCCAGAGUGGAUUAGCUAGCUGGUGGGGUAAUGGAUCCGCUAGUCGAGGAUCCCUGGCUGGUCUGAUCGGAUGACCAGCCACACUGGAAAUGAGACACGGGCCAGACUCCUACGGGAGGCAGCAGUGGGGAAUAUUGCACAAUGGGCGCAAGCCUGAUGCAGCCAUGCCGCGUGUAUGAAGAAGGCCUUCGGGUUGUAAAGUACUUUCAGCGGGGAGGAAGGGAGUAAAGUUAAUACCUUUGCUCAUUGAAGUUACCCGCAGAAGAAGAACCGGCUAACUCCGUG
rnacentral:rRNA from 1 species